GCCAUUUGUCCUGCUCGGAGAAACACCUUUGUUUUACCUAUCUAAAAUUACGUAUGGAGCAGAAACUUAGUGCAAUGCUCGAGAGAAAUUUGUCUCACAGUCAAAGGUUCAAAUUCAGCUUGGUGAAGGAUGAGAAUUACUUGAGAAGCUCUGCAACUGUUUGAAGAUGGUAGAGUGACUUAUCAUUUUUCAAUUUUGAAGAAUCGAUUUCUUUUCCUUUAACGAAGUCAAUAUUCCCAAGAUGAAGUAUGGCAGCAACUACACUGAAUAUCGCAUCCUUCACAAGGGUACCUCUGGUGGUGCAGCACAAAGCAUGUAAAAACAAUGAUAGUUUCUCUCUGGAUCUGACACCUGACAAACACGCGAUCUCUCGAGAAGAUAUGUUCGAACAGCCGCUCCAGAGAUCUUCCAAUGCUUAUCAAAUUGGAUUUCAACAAAUUUACCGAAACGACUGAUGAAGCAAAAGUAGCUGGGUCAACAAACAACAGCUUAACAUUAAAGAGGUUGAGCCGUACAAAGAGCUUCAUUGACCAAAUUAAGUCUGUGGUGCAAGUUGAUUGAUGGGCAUAGCAUUCUUGAGCUUCAAUUAAUAUCAUGACUAUGCUGGCAUCUUUUCCCUUGAUUUCUGUUACUUCUCCAUCGAUCCAGGCCACCUGUGGAUCUUCUACCCAUAUGUGUGAACCGACUAUGAUGUUUACAGGAGUUCCCUGAAAUAAACCAAAGGAAAUCAUUAGGAAAACAAAAAGAAACUGAGCAAUUCAUCGCGAUCAAAUUGAGAAAAGAUCAGCCUGAAACUUUUCAGCAACUUGUUAAGACUUAAAAGAGUACAGAAUGGAUUUUGAUCAAUAAUAGAAUCCUUCCUGAGCUUACCAUGAU